UUAGCCGAGCCGAGGACAGUUGGAUCAUCACAAUUCCUUAGCAGCCAUAGUGUGUCUUUAGGUAAAUCGUUUUGGAUCGGGGUAUCUGAUAUACUGGAGGAACACCGGUGGAUCUACUCCUCAGAUAUGGGUGUCAUAACAGUGAACAUUUUCUUUCCUGGCGAACCAGAUGAAUAUACUUCAAAAAAGUGUGUUGUAAUAUAUAAUGGGCACCAUGAAAAGUGGGCAGAUCACUCAUGCAGUACUAAUAAUUAUUUCAUUUGUGAAGAAGAUAAUGGUUUAAAAAAUGGAGAAGUUAUUGGCUGAGAAUCAACAUUUUCAGUUCAAAAGUUCUAGAAAAUUAUACAG